rnacentral:rRNA from 1 species
UACGAAGGGGGCUAGCGUUGCUCGGAAUCACUGGGCGUAAAGCGCACGUAGGCGGAUUGUUAAGUCAGGGGUGAAAUCCUGGAGCUCAACUCCAGAACUGCCUUUGAUACUGGCGAUCUUGAGUCCGGGAGAGGUGAGUGGAACUGCGAGUGUAGAGGUGAAAUUCGUAGAUAUUCGCAAGAACACCAGUGGCGAAGGCGGCUCACUGGCCCGGUACUGACGCUGAGGUGCGGAAAGCGUGGGGAGCAAACAGGGAUUAAGAAAC